GGAUGCAAGGGUGUUCUGGCUGCAACAUCUGUCACCCCAUUGAUCGCCAAGGCUGAUUCAGCUGAUCUAGCUGGGUAGGCGGAUGGCUCCUUCCUCCCUCACCGCUCCAUGUGCUUCCCUUCCAGAGCCGCAUGCUAGGUGGAAGUGGACAGCCUUCCUGAAGAGAGAAGGACCAGUCUUUGGUCAAGGGUACACAAGGACCUGUGCCCCUCUGACAGAACCUCCAAACAAGCUCUCAAACCCUGCCUCCACCACUUAAGGAAUAAUCUUAGAAAUGUCCCUAGGCUUCAGUUUUCUCCUUAACACUCUGAUCACCAUAA
rnacentral:snRNA from 1 species